GACGAACGCUGGCGGCGUGCUUAACACAUGCAAGUCGAACGGAAAGGCCCUGCUUGCAGGGUACUCGAGUGGCGAACGGGUGAGUAACACGUGGGUGAUCUGCCCUGCACUUCGGGAUAAGCCUGGGAAACUGGGUCUAAUACCGGAUAGGAGCCAUUUUUAGUGUGAUGGUUGGAAAGUUUUUUCGGUGUAGGAUGAGCUCGCGGCCUAUCAGCUUGUUGGUGGGGUAAUGGCCUACCAAGGCGGCGACGGGUAGCCGGCCUGAGAGGGUGGACGGCCACAUUGGGACUGAGAUACGGCCCAGACACCUACGGGAGGCAGCAGUGGGGAAUAUUGCACAAUGGGCGCAAGCCUGAUGCAGCGACGCCGCGUGGGGGAUGACGGCCUUCGGGUUGUAAACUCCUUUCGCUAGGGACGAAGCUUUUUGUGACGGUACCUAGAGAAGAAGCACCGGCUAACUACGUG
rnacentral:rRNA from 1 species